GCCCAGACUCCUACGGGAGGCAGCAGUGAGGAAUAUUGGUCAAUGGGCGGAAGCCUGAACCAGCCAAGUCGCGUGAGGGAAGACUGCCCUAUGGGUUGUAAACCUCUUUUGUCAGGGAGCAAUUGGCGCUACGUGUAGCGUUAUCGAGAGUACCUGAAGAAAAAGCAUCGGCUAACUCCGUGCCAGCAGCCGCGGUAAUACGGAGGAUGCGAGCGUUAUCCGGAUUUAUUGGGUUUAAAGGGUGCGUAGGCGGGCUGUUAAGUCAGCGGGCAAAUGGCGGGGCUCAACCCCGGCCUGCCGUUGAAACUGGCGGCCUCGAGUGGGCGAGAAGUAUGCGGAAUGCGUGGUGUAGCGGUGAAAUGCAUAGAUAUCACGCAGAACUCCGAUUGCGAAGGCAGCAUACCGGCGCCCAACUGACGCUGAAGCACGAAAGCGUGGGUAUCGAACAGGAUUAGAUACCCCAGUA
rnacentral:rRNA from 1 species